AGUCUAUUCAGAAGAAAAGACCCAGAAGCACCUCUCCAGCUGACAGUUUUAGUGGAUGGAAACUGCAAGUAUUACCAUUUAAAGAAUGCAGCAAGAUUGGACGAACAGGCUAUAUUUCAGGACCUUUUCAUAGCCAAGGAUGAAAACGUAGGAAAAUUUGUGGACUGUAUACACAAAUCAACCGAAAAUAUUUUGUGGUGGGCAAUGGUCAGCAGCC